GACGAACGCUGGCGGCGUGCUUAACACAUGCAAGUCGAACGGAAAGGCCCUGCUUUUGUGGGGUGCUCGAGUGGCGAACGGGUUAGUAACACGUGAGUAACCUGCCCUUGACUUUGGGAUAACUUCAGGAAACUUGGGCUAAUACCGGAUAGGAGCUCCUGCUGCAUGGUGGGGGUUGGAAAGUUUCGGCGGUUGGGGAUGGACUCGCGGCUGAUCAGCUUGUUGGUGGGGUAGUGGCUUACCAAGGCUUUGACGGGUAGCCGGCCUGAGAGGGUGACCGGCCACAUUGGGACUGAGAUACGGCCCAGACUGCUACGGGAGGCAGCAGUGGGGAAUAUUGCAGAAUGGGCGGAAGCCUGAUGCAGCAACGCCGCGUGCGGGAUGAAGGCCUUCGGGUUGUAAACCGCUUUCGCCUGUGACGAAGCGUGAGUGACGGUAAUGGGUAAAGAAGCACCGGCUAACUACGUG
rnacentral:rRNA from 1 species